rnacentral:rRNA from 1 species
UACGAAGGGGGCGAGCGUUGUUCGGAAUUAUUGGGCGUAAAGGGCGCGUAGGCGGCCUGGCAAGUGGAAGGUGAAAUCCCUCGGCUUAACCGAGGAACUGCCCUCCAAACUGCUUGGCUUGAGUCCGGGAGAGGUGAGUGGAAUUCCCAGUGUAGCGGUGAAAUGCGUAGAUAUUGGGAGGAACACCAGUGGCGAAGGCGGCUCACUGGCCCGAUACUGACGCUGAGGCACGAAAGCGUGGGGAGCAAACAGG